UAGGGAAUCUUCGGCAAUGGACGAAAGUCUGACCGAGCAACGCCGCGUGUGUGAAGAAGGUUUUCGGAUCGUAAAACUCUGUUGUUAGAGAAGAACAAGGACGUUAGUAACUGAACGUCCCCUGACGGUAUCUAACCAGAAAGCCACGGCUAACUACGUGCCAGCAGCCGCGGUAAUACGUAGGUGGCAAGCGUUGUCCGGAUUUAUUGGGCGUAAAGCGAGCGCAGGCGGUUUCUUAAGUCUGAUGUGAAAGCCCCCGGCUCAACCGGGGAGGGUCAUUGGAAACUGGGGGACGUGAGUGCAGAAGAGGGGAGUGGAAUUCCAUGUGUAGCGGUGAAAUGCGUAGAUAUAUGGAGGAACACCAGUGGCGAAGGCGGCCCUCUGGUCUGUCACUGACGCUGAGGCUCGAAAGCGUGGGGAGCAAACAGG
rnacentral:rRNA from 1 species